UCGAGCGGAUCUGGCGGAUGGCGACCCUGCUGGCGUGCUCGGGCGAGGUGGAGAACUUGUCGCCGCUGUCGUUGUGGCGCUCCUCGCCGUCGUGGCCGUUUGCGCCGACGGCGCCUCCACGUUCUACUCCUCGGUCCCCAACCUCGGAUCCGCCCGCGUCGUCUUCGAGGUUGAGACAUAAGUUUGAGAUGGUGGACGGCAUGCAAGCUUCAAGACCUAAGUUUGAGAUGUUUGAGAGUUUGUUCAUGCGCUAUAUACAUUUCUCUUGCUCCUCUUCCUCCUUUAGAUCUCUCUGUCUAGCUUCUUGAUUGAGUGAUUGUUGGUUUGGAGCUGUUAUCUACCACCGUUGUGCAAGUUUUAGAUAAGCUCUGUUACUUAUGAAUUCUUUGAGUACAAGUAAUUACUGGAUUUUUCUUGUUUACUAUUGUAUUUACUGAUGGAUGAAAGCCUGUAUGAUAGAUGGAUGGAUGGAAGCCUGUAUGUGUUAUAUACUCAAUGCCAUAGCCACCUGUAUUA